rnacentral:misc_RNA from 1 species
CACCCAGCCCCCGCAACCUCGCCGGGGAAAACUUGGCGAAAAAACAACAAAAACAUUACUAAGCUCUUCUCUUCUCGAGACCACCCAUCAAGGGUGCCAAAGGCCAGCACUCCAACCCUGGUAGGCCUUAGCCCACCUGAGCUGGGUCUCUGACCCUCCCCCAUGGACUCCCUACCACCUUGUGUCGUCAAGACAAGAUGGUCCCACCACUUGGCAGGAUCCCCACUCAGACUAAUCUUAGUGAGAUAGAGAUGAUCAUACUGCGGUACAACCACCCCCAUUCUUACUACCAUUAGUCCGUCCCCUCAAGGUCGCGCGAGACAAUCCCUUGUCAGAGAAUCGUCAGGGCAGCGUUCUCCCCAUUCGGAAGUUGGGGAAGCGUCCUUCCGGUCCAAUGCAGGAUUCACCAAGGCACUCCCCAUUCGGAAGUUCGAGACGAGUUACAGUCCCUCCGCUCAUGACACUCCCCAUUCAUUUAUACGUCGGGCACGGAUCUCCAUCGCGGCUCCCUCAAAGUCUCGGUCCGAGGCAUGGUCUUCCAUCAGCUGGUUCUCAGGAAAAUCACUUGGCUAUCUACUGUCGGCUACCUGUAGACCGUCGCUAUGCUUAUUCAGGCAGUCAACGAGUUACCCACCUGGUAGCCCCUGUGAAUAGCACUGGUAUCACCUGACAACCCAGAAAACCUCGGUCUAUAUGCUGUCCCCGUCGAGUGUCAGACUGAAGCUUUUUCACCACUGCCGCUGUUCUGCUUUACCAUUUUCUAGUACCAUCUGUACAGUGAUAUUCGAGGUGACAACCUUUGGGAUGAUGGAACUUCUCCAUAUAAUGUUUUAGGCACCUGUUUUAUGGGAUCGUGGCAGGAUAGAACACAUACGUGUACAAGUCAUGGCCGUGUACCAUGGAUCUGGUUGCUGUUCUUCGACCAUGGUAGUGCCCUGGAUUCUCCCGUCCUUCUGCAGGUAGGCGCCAUUACAUUAGUGGGCUGUUACUUGGGAUUUUGUGAGACUAACAUGAAUGAAUGAUUAUAUAAAAUGCACCAGCUAAAUUCUUUACAUAUAUCGAG